CUUUGCUGACGAGUGGCGGACGGGUGAGUAAUGUCUGGGAAACUGCCUGAUGGAGGGGGAUAACUACUGGAAACGGUAGCUAAUACCGCAUAACGUCGCAAGACCAAAGAGGGGGACCUUCGGGCCUCUUGCCAUCGGAUGUGCCCAGAUGGGAUUAGCUAGUAGGUGGGGUAACGGCUCACCUAGGCGACGAUCCCUAGCUGGUCUGAGAGGAUGACCAGCCACACUGGAACUGAGACACGGUCCAGACUCCUACGGGAGGCAGCAGUGGGGAAUAUUGCACAAUGGGCGCAAGCCUGAUGCAGCCAUGC
rnacentral:rRNA from 1 species